rnacentral:rRNA from 1 species
GGCGGCAGGCUUAACACAUGCAAGUCGAACGGUUGUAGCAAUACAGCAGUGGCGCACGGGUGAGUAACGCGUGGGAACAUCCCUUUCAGUUCGGAAUAACAGCGGGAAACUGCUGCUAAUACCGGAUAUUCUCUUCGGAGGAAAGAUUUAUCGCUGAAAGAUUGGCCCGCGUCAGAUUAGCUAGUUGGUGAGGUAACGGCUCACCAAGGCUCCGAUCUGUAGCUGGUCUGAGAGGACGACCAGCCACACUGGAACUGAGACACGGUCCAGACUCCUACGGGAGGCAGCAGUGGGGAAUAUUGGACAAUGGGCGAAAGCCUGAUCCAGCCAUGCCGCGUGAGUGAUGAAGGCCUUAGGGUUGUAAAGCUCUUUUGUCAGGGAAGAUAAUGACGGUACCUGAAGAAUAAGCACCGGCUAACUUCGUGCCAGCAGCCGCGGUAAUACNAAGGGUGCUAGCGUUGUUCGGAAUUACUGGGCGUAAAGCGCGCGUAGGCGGGCUGUCAAGUCAGGGGUGAAAUCCCGGAGCUUAACUCCGGAACUGCCUUUGAAACUGUCA